UACGGGGGGUGCAAGCGUUAUCCGGAUUCACUGGGUUUAAAGGGUGCGUAGGCGGGCAUUUAAGUCAGUGGUGAAAUACCUGAGCUUAACUUGGGAACUGCCAUUGAUACUAUUUGUCUUGAAUGUCGUGGAGGUUAGCGGAAUAUGUCAUGUAGCGGCGAAAUGCUUAGAUAUGACAUAGAACACCUAUUGCGAAGGCAGCUAACUACGCGAAUAUUGACGCUGAGGCACGAAAGCGUGGGGAUCAAACAGG
rnacentral:rRNA from 1 species